UUUUUUUCAGAGAGUGAGCUAAGGCGUGAAAUCAGCCGCCUGGGGACUACGACCGCAAGGUUAAAACCCAAAGGAAUUGACGGGGGCUUACACAAGCGGUGGAGCAUGUGGUUUAAUUCGACACAACGCGCAAAACCUUACCAAUUUUUGACAUAGAAAAGAAUGCAUUCGGUCUGAGUGUGUUUUAUUUUCUACAGGUGCUGCAUGGCUGUCGUCAGUUCGUGGCGUGAGCUGUUGGGUUAAGUCCUAGAACGAACGCAACCCUCAGGUUCUUUGCUUUGAAUCAUUGAACUAACUGCCUUUGAGAUAAAGGAGGAAGGGGAGGAUGACGUCAAGUCCGCAUGGCCCUUAUGAAUUGGGCUACACACGUGCUACAAUGAUGAUGCCAAAGAGAUGCAAGGUGGUCACACGGAGCCAUUCUUGAACCAUCAUCCUAGUGCAGAUUGGUCUCUGCAACUCGAGACCAUGAAGUUGGAAUCGCUAGUAAUCGUAGAUCAGCAUGCUACGGUGAAUUUGUAUCUAAGCCUUGUACACACCGCCCGUCACACUAUGAAAGUGAGCCGUACUCAAAAAAACUCUUCUGUACAUAGUAUAGGCCACACUAGUUAUGAAAAUAUCCGUGCCCUUUCUUUGUGUAGAAAUUUUAACAGUAUUGUCUAUGAUUGUAGUGAAGUCGUAACAAGGUAGCUGUAGGGGAACCUGUAGCUGGAUAGACUCC
rnacentral:rRNA from 1 species